UGAGCUUGAAAUCGCCAGGCUAUGCAGUCUCAUCAACGAUCCAAUUUUGGGGCGUGGAUACACACAUCCUACUACGGUGAAGUCUUGGCUUAUGAAUAUUAAUUAGUUUUUGUGACGUAGGUGCAGUGGGUCAAACAAGCAACCGGUUUAACUAAACAUUAAUCAAAGAUUAAAAAUUGAUUAGGGUAGCCUACGUGAAUUGACAUUCCUGGAGGGUUACUAAGCAACGUCAGUCUGUCUUAAUUAAUAUUCAUAAACUAAGCCUUCGCCAUAGUAUGAUUUUCUGACUCUGGUCCCAGACAUAAUUUAUUCCGCAUGUGGUCAAAGGAACCAGUCGGUGGCGCUUUAGCGCAACAUGUACAAAUAUGUUAUGUCUACACCAGCCAGAUGGAUAAUUCAUUAAUAACGAGCACAUGGGGUCGCUCUGGCUAAAACAGCAUACAUGGAGAAUUUCAAAAGGCUUGCGCAUUAACGAGGCUCAAUGUUCCACCGCGUAUUAUUGACUUUUUCCUUCGUCCACUUUUGCGCAAAGGGAAAAUGUUGUAAGCGGUCCCUGUGGAUAUACCGUGUCUUCAUGAGGAGUUGAGCGCAAAUAAGGGGGCGGGUGAUGAUAAUGUGUGAAGAGUGGCAGCAACUUCUCACUACACGGCAACAUUUUCCGUUCUUCUUCAGGCGACAUGCACAUUCUUUCUAAAGAAGCUCCAAGGAGGAAGGCUGGUGGUGGACAUGGUGAAAAUGACAGGUAAAAAAGUGUGACCCUGGUGUCUGGAUGGGCUCACGCGCUCUUCACUGGACGCGUCGUGUCUUUAUUUCUCAUGUCAUUGGCGCUUGGAUGAUCGCGUUUCCGAGAUAUGCCGAUGGUCUUUUGCAAAUGUUUUAGAUUAACGCAGACUAACACACUUUUAACACACGAUCACACAACCUGAGGCAAAAUUCAGCAACAAUUGAGAGUGUGUCAGAGGCUGGGUCUUUGCGGGCAAGGUGAGUUUUCCUUUUAUUCAACUGGCCUACAAAGUCCCAGUUUUCGGCCCAUGUGACCAUCUCUGUCAAUUGACCGUGCUGAAUAUAUGUAGCCUAUGUGCGUGUGUGUGUGUAUAGUGGAGUUUAUCUGUAGUAUUGAUAAUAAUAAAGUACUGAACACAACAGAAUAGAAUAGUUAAAGAUUCUGUUAUAUUAUUUGAUAAUGGGAUCACUGAUAACAUAAAAAAAAAUUUAAUUUCCGUUCUUCACUCUUUAUUAAACGUUUCGUUUUUAUAUAUGAUUUAAAUGCAGAGUUAUUUAUGUAGCCUAUUUUAAAUAUUUGAUAUAUAUAAAAAUGUGAUGUAGGAUAUGUAUUCUUAAGAACUUUCCUACAUAAUACUACAUAUAAUCUAAUUAAAAUAAUAGCUAUAAUUAAAUAAAUAUAGAGUGAAAAAUCUGAAAUUAACUUUAGACAUCAUAAGUAUUUUACAGUAUCUGUUAACUUUAACAAAAAGUUAAUUAGUUGAAAGAAAAAAGAAAGAAAGAAAGAAAGCAAAGGAAAGAAAGAAAGAAAAAAGAAAAAUUAUUGAUACAAAAGAUUAUUUGAUACAAAAGAUUAGGUUUAGGCUUGUAUCAGCCAAUUAUUUUGUGAACUUACGUUAUGUAUUAUGAAUAACAUAUAUGAUACACUUUUGUUAAGAAUUUAGUCAUUUUAUUAAUUAUAAAACGUAGGUGUCUUAUUAUUUAAUAUUUUUACUUUUGUUAUUUUUAUUUAGCUUUUUUUAAGUAGAACUAUUUGUGAAUAUUAAAGUGGUAUGUCUGAUAUACACUACAGUCAAAACAUAUAAAAAUACAAACAAAAUGGAAUUUAGGAAUUUUGACCUUUUUGUUUACUAAAAAUAACUUACAAGAACAGCACCAUUUUGUAACACAAAGACUUAUUUUUACAGACCCGAACACAAAAUAAAAGUCUGUUUUUGAGUGCCUGAAAGUAAGAUUCUGAGUUUAAAAGAAAACAACAAAUCAAAAAGAUGUCAAGAAGCAAAAAUAUAAAUAUUAGUUUCUGUGAAAUUAAAAGUAUGUUGGUUCAUUCAUUAAAGAUUUUACUGUAUAAGGAGUGGCAGAGGCAGGUUACAGACAGCUUUGUUAGUGUGUGUAUAAAUUCUGGGAUAGUUACCAAACAUGUCUGAUACAGUUUGUCAUAUUAAGCAGUUCUCAAAGCUGCCUGCCAAUAGUUUCCCAAAGGAUUUGUAUAUUGUUCUGGAUGUCAGUCACAUCUUGACAGUUGCAAAAGUCUGUAAUCAUUGUAAACUAACCUCUUCCAAUGCAGCACAUGCAAAUCAUAGAAUUAUAAUGAACUGUAUAUGUAAAAGUUAUUUCAUUAGAUGUUACAAGAUUAGUUCCUAUUCAGUUACCAAAAAAUAUCUAAUUUGCUAUAUUUUUACCUUAGCACCUAAUAACUUAAUCUUAAUCUUUUAAUUUCAUAUCUACUUAUUUUCACAUUUACAAACGAUUAGCAAGUCGUUUUAUCAUUUUACCAGACCGUUUCUCAGGAAUUUGCAUUAAGCACCUGCUUUGACUUCUAUUAAUAUUAUAGCCUAAUUAAUAUUUUAUGUGCAUAAUUUGAUUGAAACAAGCAGGGCACACAAAAUUAUGUACUGUGAAAAAUCUGCCUGAAUGAUCAAGAGGUGUUGUAAUUUGUAAAUGACAGUUGCUGUAAACCACUGAAAACAGCUUAGUGUUCAGUAAAAAAAAAAAAAAAAACACAGUUUGUCAUUUGUAAUAGUUUAGUCAUUUAAUGCAUUCUAAUAAUAAGGGUCUGACAUUAUGGUUGGCCCUUGUUCAGGGAGAGGAGGGAUAUUAUAGUCCAGACUGACCUUUACUUUGAGCUUUAGUUUGAGUCUUUAGAGCCAUGGUAUAAACCUUAAACAUUUCUUGAACAGAAGGCAGAUGCCAGACAAAGAAACUGUGAAGAAGUCAGCAAGAAAAGUGAGGGACUUUUAGGGGCAGCUGUGUUAUACUGACCCAGUCAUAAUGCCCCUAAAAAUCCUUAUUGCUCUUGCAGUGCUCGGCUAUUAACAGCUGUUAAAUCAGUCCUAACAUAACCGCUCCCACAGGAUCUGUUAUAUAGUGAUUAGCCCCAAAAUGGGCUUUCCUUAUGGACAUCAUCCUUUAGAGAAGAGUGUUUAUCUGAGCUUUGUAACUACAUUUGGUUACAUUUCAGGUACUAAAAAUGUUCUUAUGCAGUAAAAUCCAGAUCCCUGUGUGCUUGAGAUCUGUUGCACAUUCAAAUCAGUGAGUUUUAGGUCAAAUAUAUCUGCUUCGCCCAUUCACAGCGCAUUUUGACAUAUUAGCGGAGGGCCAUCCUUUGUCUCCCAGGAAAGCAGUGAGGGGAAUUUUUGAUGUGAAUGGGGGAAUACCAAUGCCGUUGCUUCAUUUCUAUCCGAUUGUUCUCCUGCUAUGUAUUUCACACAGGCAGAGAGAGAAUGUGAAUGACAGGUAGAAAGUGGUGGCAAUGUAACUGAAACAGAAAUAGUGAAAGAAGUAAAGGUUGGGUAAGAAAGAAAAGAGACAAGGCAGCAUGGUUGGAGCAAGAGAAAGAAAGCUAGCUGAUGACUCAGGCUCAUACGCUUCAUAUGUAGAGAGGGAGGAAGGGAGGGAGGGAGAAAUGACUCAUCAGAGCAUGUGGAAUCUCAUAUGGCUAUCACAGGAUCGAGGUUCUCUCUUCCUCCUCUCUGCUGCCUGCCUGUUCAUGACUGUCUGAGGUAAGAGAAGACUGCCCACUCUGUCUGUCUCCAGCAACAACCUGCGUCCACAGGGACAGCAAACUGCAAUGCACAAUGAUCCUCGAGAGCUGCUGGAAAAAAACUUCUUCGGAUAAGACCAUAUUGGAUGAGCUUAUGUAGAACUGCAUAUGUUUUUAUAUACUCUCUGUGAACUCCGGAGUAAGGCCCCCUAAACACAUGUACAGUGGUCCCAACAAUUAUUUGGCCAUUAGUGAAUGUAUGACAAAAUUACUUGACCUUUCCUCUGAACCAUUUUCACUGUUUUUGCAAUGACUAUUAAGCAACUGGUGUCAGAGUUAUUAUUGGCUGCAUCCAAAAUCUUGACUUGUUGCCUCUCUGCACUAUCAGGCAAUGUCUUUGUAGGCCCUGUUUGUGAGCGAAGGUGGUCCAAUGAUCUACAACAAAACAGAGAGGGCUUUGGCGAGAAGUAAGCCUUGAUCACCACGAUCAAUACUUGAUCACCACAAUACUAAUAUUUUGCUACAAAUUAAAUCAAAAGUUGAAAAAGUCAGAAACAUACAUUUGCAAAUACUGCAACUUUCAGAUGCCGUUUUAUUUAUUUAUUUAUUUUAGCCCAACUGUCACAAAUAUGUCCAGGAUAGUGGGAUAUUAGUGAAGGAUGUGACACAAUCAUUGGAUUUGGACAACCCUUGUUUCUUCCAUAUGCUGCAUGCAGAAAAGUAAAAGCACACAUUCAGUAUACAGGUGAAUCUCAGGGAGACUGAUGAGUCACCACUGGAACAGGACACACCCUAUGAACAAGUGUCAACUCCAAACAUCUCCUUGGGUUCCACAGUCAUGUGGGUGUGGGAUCCAAAAAAAGCUGGUCCACAUGCAACAACCGAGAGGCAAUGUGCAAACAAAAUGUAGAAAGGCAGCAGCAACCACCACCUCCCCCAACACUCCUUGGUCCCCUCGGGCUAAACUUACCCGACCUGAUUUCUGCAGCCACCUUCCAAUAUAAAAGUUGGAAACCGCAUAGUUGAACAAGCUCCAGAGCAAAUAAGAGGUCUCAGCAUUUCUCAGUAUGACUGAAUGGAAGGGAGGAGGAAAGGUUAAAUAAACAACUCACUGAAAUCCCAGUCUCGGCUCUUGGCAAAUACAACUUUCUGAAUUGGCAUGAUUAUGAUUCAUUCAGCAUGAGGGUUAUUGUAUAGAGUAUAUGCAUAACAAAAACUCAAAAGGAAAGCCCUUUUUAUUUUUAGAUUGCUCUUAUCUAUUAAAUUUUGUUAAAGGCUUUAUAUACCCAACAAAGUCAGGUUCUGUUUUCUUCCCUCUUGAGUGUUUGAUGGUACUGAAAAUCUGGUAGUAGGUUUUUGGCUGUUUAUGCACAGUGAUUUGUGGUUAAUUGCCACGGCUUUCUGCAUUAUGAAAUCAGGCUUAACCUGUAUCCUGAAAAGCUUAUUCCACAGGAGAGCAAUUCACUUAUGUUUAAUAUCGCGGAUAUGUGGAGGACUUGAUGGAGUUUCAACAGGAAGCUUGCAGUGGUACCCUGGAGAGGCUGCUAGAAUAAAUGUUACUAAUGGAUAGCUGGAUCCAGACGAUUCAUACAUUAUUUUUCUUUUUUUCUUUUUUUUUUUUAUGAAUUUUAAAGUAUCAUGUAAUAUUAUUUAUAAUGUUAUUGUAUAAUGUUAAAAUGUUAUUGUAUAACAACGUGAUUUUUCUUUUCUGAUUUUCUCUCUUUAUUCAGAGAAAAGGUGCCUCAAAAGCUUAAAAGGAAAUAUACACACUGAAGCAUUCCUUAAAUUGCGCUAUUUAAUAUACUUAUUCUACUUUUGGAUUUUGUGAUGUUAAGUACUGUAGUUCUUUAAUAGUUGUCUAACAUUGUUGAUUGAAAACUGACUGUUGCCACAUGGCAUCUCUGUAACACAAUAACAGCAGUAAUUUAUUACCUCACUGAUUUUUUUUUUUUUUUUUGCGAUCAAUUAUAUUAUAGCACGUAUUUCAUUAUUUAUGGAAAUGGAAAUGUUUGUACUAAUUAUACAUGAUAAUUCUAUCUUUGCAUAAGCUUUGUGUUCUGUAAGGGAAAGAGGCAACAUUGAGUCAGCAGUGAGGAUUGAAGGCUUUUAGAAAAAUAUUGAAAGAUUAUUAAACAUUACUUUUUUAAAACUG